AUUGAACGCUGGCGGCAGGCCUAACACAUGCAAGUCGAGCGGAUGAGUGGAGCUUGCUCCAUGAUUCAGCGGCGGACGGGUGAGUAAUGCCUAGGAAUCUGCCUGGUAGUGGGGGACAACGUUCCGAAAGGAACGCUAAUACCGCAUACGUCCUACGGGAGAAAGCGGGGGAUCUUCGGACCUCGCGCCAUUAGAUGAGCCUAGGUCGGAUUAGCUAGUUGGUGAGGUAAUGGCUCACCAAGGCGACGAUCCGUAACUGGUCUGAGAGGAUGAUCAGUCACACUGGAACUGAGACACGGUCCAGACUCCUACGGGAGGCAGCAGUGGGGAAUAUUGGACAAUGGGGGGAACCCUGAUCCAGCAAUGCCGCGUGUGUGAAGAAGGCCUGAGGGUUGUAAAGCACUUUCAGUGGGGAGGAGUGUUGUUUGGUUAAGAGCUGGACAAUUGGACGUUACCCACAGAAGAAGCACCGGCUAACUCCGUG
rnacentral:rRNA from 1 species